UUCCGGUUGAUCCUGCCGGACCCGACUGCUAUUUGGGUGAGGAUAAGCCAUGCGAGUCGAAUGGGAUGCCUAAAAUUCCCAUGGCAAACUGCUCAGUAACACAUGAUCAACUUACCCUAUAGAGAAAAAUAACCUCGGGAAACUGAGGAUAAUGUUUCAUAAUUGAAUCGGCUUGGAAAAGUUUUUCAAUUAAAAGAAUAAGAAAAAUGGUCCUUGUUCGCUAUAGGAUAGGAUCGUGGACGAUUAUGGUUGUUGGUGAGGUAACGGCUCACCAAGCCGAUAAUCGAUAGGGGCCGUGAGAGCGGGAGCCCCGAGAUGGGUACUGAGACAACGACCCAGGCCUUACGAGGCGCAGCAGGCGCGGAACCUCCGCAAUACACGAAAGUGUGACGGGGUUACCCAAAGUGUUCAUUAUUGAACUGUGGUAGGUGAGUAAUGUUCCCUACUAGAAAGGAGAGGGCAAGGCUGGUGCCAGCCGCCGCGGUAAAACCAGCUCUUCAAGUGGUCGGGAUAAUUAUUGGGCUUAAAGUGUCCGUAGCUGGUUUAGUAAGUUCCUGGUAAAAUCGGGUAGCUUAACUAUCCGUAUGCUAGGAAUACUGCUAUACUAGAGGGCGGGAGAGGUCUGAAGUACUACAGGGGUAGGGGUGAAAUCUUAUAAUCCUUGUAGGACCACCAGUGGCGAAGGCGUCAGACUGGAACGCGCCUGACAGUGAGGGACGAAAGCCAGGGGAGCGAACCGGAUUAGAUACCCGGGUAGUCCUGGCCGUAAACGAUGCAUACUAGGUGAUGGUACGGCCAUGAGCCGUAUCAGUGCCGUAGGGAAACCGUUAAGUGUGCCGCCUGGGAAGUACGGUCGCAAGGCUAAAACUUAAAGGAAUUGGCGGGGGAGCACCACAAGGGGUGAAGCCUGCGGUUCAAUUGGAAUCAACGCCGGA
rnacentral:rRNA from 1 species